GGAUUAGUGGCGAACGGGUGAGUAACACGUGAGUAACCUGCCUUACACAAGGGGAUAGCCUUUGGAAACGAAGAAUAAUACCCUAUAAAGUUAGUCAAUCGCAUGGUAGACUAACCAAAGAUUUAUCGGUGUAAGAUGGACUUGCGUCUGAUUAGCUAGUUGGUGAGAUAAAAGCCCACCAAGGCGACGAUCAGUAGCCGGCUUGAGAGAGUGUACGGCCACAUUGGGACUGAGACACGGCCCAAACUCC
rnacentral:rRNA from 1 species